AGAGGUGUGGCUCAGAGGUAGAGCACUUGCCUGGCACGCACAAGGCCCUGCGUUCAAUCCCCAACACUGCUC
rnacentral:tRNA from 1 species